CACGUAGGGUGCGAGCGUUGUCCGGAAUUAUUGGGCGUAAAGAGCUCGUAGGCGGUGUGUCGCGUCGGCCGUGAAAACUUGCAGCUUAACUGUGGGCGUGCGGUCGAUACGGGCAUCACUGGAGUUCGGCAGGGGAGACUGGAAUUCCUGGUGUAGCGGUGAAAUGCGUAGAUAUCAGGAGGAACACCGGUGGCGAAGGCGGCUCUCUGGACAGGUACCGACGCUGAGGCACGAAAGCUAGGGGAGCAAACAGG
rnacentral:rRNA from 1 species